UGUAUGUUAUUUUCCCUUGCAUUUUUUUCAAUAAAUAAAAUUAUAUUAAAUACUCUGCUAGUGUUUUGGGGAAAUUUCUGUUGUCAAUAAGCAAUUAAGUUAGAAACAAAAAGAUAUUUAGAAUGCCAAUUAUAUUCGCAAUUUGAAAUGAAAAUGCCAUCAUUUCUCUCAGUAUUAAGAAGCUUUUAUCUACUCAACACUGCAGUGAGCACAAUUAGCCCAUUAAGAAUGUGUUGAUUUUUACAUCCUUUGUGAGAGAUCAUUUAUAAGAUUGUAUUAAACAAUGAGGCAUUAAAAUCUUCCUGAAUUAAUGUUAUUAAAAAAUUAUGACUCAGUUUAGUAACUCUGGACUUCUGCAUGAUAUGUGAAAUAAUUGAAGUUUGAUGGUGCUAAUGUUAUUCAGGAAGAUAGUUCAAAUCACAUAUUUCAUAGGAACACUAUUAACUAAAUUUGAGUCUUCUGAGGGGAUGAAAUAGCAUUGCAUGACACUGAGGUCUAUGAAUCAAAGUGUGAAUGGAUACUAAAAUUAACUUGCUCAUCCUCUUUUCCCUACUGCAUAUCUAGCUUAUAUUUUACUUUAUCUUUACUAUUAUAUCUCUAAAUAAAUCAAUGAAGUUUUGGAAAUGCAGAUACAAUUAACAUUAAUGGGUUCAUUAACUAUGUUUGAAAAAAAAACCUCAUAUGCCAUUUUAGUUUAAUAUCAAAUUAAGAAACUUAUCCAUAUUUUUCUCCCUAUAGUACUUAGAAAGUAUUCUUUAGUAACCUGCAUAUGUGCUUUCAAAAUGACACUGUCAUCUCCUCCAGGGCAAGGGUGUGUCUACUGUAUCUUCAAUAGUCUUUAUAAGAUUCAGGUAAGUUGUAAGUCUAGGUUCUGUGGAGAACACACAGUGAACUAUUACUGAACUAAUCCAUGACUUAGAGCCAUAUUGAGAACAGAACUUAUUCGAUGAGCCUAGGAAAUUUCCAAAACUUUCCUCUUCCUUUUAUAAAAUCAAUGAUAUUUUGUGAACAGAAGAUAUUGCCUGUGUACUCAGAAAACGAGAAACUAAUCCAACUGACCCAACAGUUUAAAUGUUUGUAACAGUUUUCUGGCCCUUCUUAGUUUAACGAAAAAUUAUUAUAUUUGUUAAUAAAAGAGUAAAUAUAUCCAAUGUCUUUGCAAGCCAAAUUAUUAUGUGGUUAAACUAAAGAAAAUUAGACUAAUUCUAUAUGCUUAUGUUAGAUGCCAGAAUUGCACAUAAGAAUAGUGUUUUAUAGGAUCUUUUCUUUCAACUACAAUGUAUAAAUAAUAGAAAGUUAAAUUUAUUUUUGCUUUUGUGAGGUCAUAUGAACUCUAAAUUUAAAGUCAGCCAUUUCUAGAGUUUGUUGCAGUAUAUAUUUGUUGACAUCUAAUCAACUAAAUUUGAAAUAGAGAAUACAUAGACAUGCAAAUCUUUUUAAGAAUUCUAUAAAAAAAUUGAAUUGUAAAACAAUUAUAAAA
rnacentral:lncRNA from 1 species